CCUCCUUCUUGGCGUACUCGCGGUUGCUGUGUACCCCUGUAUGUAUGUAGGGAGGAAUAACAGAGCCAGCGCAAUGUCUUCGGUGCCAGCAUGCUCCCAUCGGCUGGUUCUAUCCUCAAGCGCUGGAACACGU
rnacentral:snoRNA from 1 species